ACAGUGGACGCGAGCAUCUUUGUUGUAAGUGUUUAAGAGCGUACGGUGGAUGCCUUGGCACCAGGAGCCGAUGAAGGACGUAGGAGGCUGCGAUAAGCCUCGGGGAGCUGUCAACCGAGCUGAGAUCCGAGGAUGUCCGAAUGGGGAAACCCAGCCACAGUGAUGUGUGGUUACCCGCGCCUGAAUAUAUAGGGCGUGUGGAGGGAACGUGGGGAAGUGAAACAUCUCAGUACCCACAGGAAGAGAAAACAACAUGUGAUUCCGUGAGUAGUGGCGAGCGAAAGCGGAAGAGGCUAAACCAUGGGUGUGUGAUAGCCGGCGGGCGUUGCAUUCGUGGGGUUGUGGGAUCCGUCUUGUCAAUUCUGCCGGAUUGGCCGACAGUGAGAAAUCAUCGUGUUAGUCGAAGUGGUCUGGAACGGCCUGUCGUAGAGGGUGAGAGUCCCGUAGACGAAAACAUGGUGACUGUCGUGACGGACACCCGAGUAGCAGCGGGCCCGUGAAAUCUGCUGUGAAUCUGUCGGGACCACCCGAUAAGCCUGAAUACUCCCUGGUGACCGAUAGCGGACUAGUACCGUGAGGGAAAGGUGAAAAGUACCCCGGGAGGGGAGUGAAAUAGUACCUGAAACCGUGCGCUUACAAUCCGUCAGAGCCUGCGCCACUUCGGUGGGUGGGUGAUGGCGUGCCUUUUGAAGAAUGAGCCUGCGAGUUAGCGGCAUGUCGCGAGGUUAACCCGUGUGGGGUAGCCGUAGCGAAAGCGAGUCCGAAUAGGGCGUUUGUAGUGGCAUGUUCUAGACCCGAAGCGGAGUGAUCUACCCAUGGCCAGGGUGAAGCGACGGUAAGACGUCGUGGAGGCCCGAACCCACUUAGGUUGAAAACUGAGGGGAUGAGCUGUGGGUAGGGGUGAAAGGCCAAUCAAACUCCGUGAUAGCUGGUUCUCCCCGAAAUGCAUUUAGGUGCAGCGUCGCGUGUUUCACUCUGGAGGUAGAGCUACUGGAUGGCCGAUGGGCCCCACAAGGUUACUGACGUCAGCCAAACUCCGAAUGCCAGAGUGUGAGAGCGCGGCAGUGAGACUGCGGGGGAUAAGCUUCGUAGUCGAGAGGGAAACAGCCCAGAUCGCCGGCUAAGGCCCCUAAGCGUGUACUAAGUGGAAAAGGAUGUGGGGUCGCGAAGACAACCAGGAGGUUGGCUUAGAAGCAGCCACCCUUGAAAGAGUGCGUAAUAGCUCACUGGUCAAGUGAUCCUGCGCCGACAAUGUAGCGGGGCUCAAGUACACCGCCGAAGCCGCGGCAUUCACAUAACACCCAUGCGGGUCUACGGGCCUGUGUGCAGUGGUGUGGAUGGGUAGGGGAGCGUCGUGCAGCCAUGGAAGCGCCGGAGUGAUCCAGGUGUGGAGGCUGCACGAGUGAGAAUGCAGGCAUGAGUAGCGAAAGACGAGUGAGAAACUCGUCCGCCGAAUGACCAAGGGUUCCUGGGCCAGGUUAAUCCGCCCAGGGUGAGUCGGGACCUAAGGCGAGGCCGACAGGCGUAGUCGAUGGACAACGGGUUGAUAUUCCCGUACCCGUGUGAACGCGCCCCUGGUGAAUCAGUGAUGCUAAGCGCCCUGAAGCCGCCUUCGAACCUUCGGGUUCUCCGGUGUGUGGAUGCGCGUGAACCGAUCUGGUAGUAGCCAAGCGAUGGGGUGACGCAGGAAGGUAGCUGAGCCAGUCAGUGGUAAUACUGGUGUAAGCGUGUAGGGCGUGACCUAGGCAAAUCCGGGUCACAUACAGCCUGAGACGUGAUGCGUAGCCGAUUGAGGCGAAUUCAGUGAUCCUAUGCUGCCGAGAAAAGCCUCUAGCGAGCUUUCACACGGCCCGUACCCCAAACCGACACAGGUGGUCAGGUAGAGAAUACUAAGGCGAUCGAGAUAACUGUGGUUAAGGAACUCGGCAAAAUGCCCCCGUAACUUCGGGAGAAGGGGGGCCUCGUCUGGUGACGGAACUUGCUUCCUGAGCUGGGUGGGGCCGCAGAGACCAGAGAGAAGCGACUGCGACUGUUUACUAAAACACAGGUCCGUGCGAAGUCGUAAGACGAUGUAUACGGACUGACGCCUGCCCGGUGCUGGAAGGUUAAGAGGACCGGUUAGCCAGUAAUGGCGAAGCUGAGAAUUUAAGCCCCAGUAAACGGCGGUGGUAACUAUAACCAUCCUAAGGUAGCGAAAUUCCUUGUCGGGUAAGUUCCGACCUGCACGAAUGGCGUAACGACUUCUCUGCUGUCUCAACCACAGACUCGGCGAAAUUGCAUUACGAGUAAAGAUGCUCGUUACGCGCGGCAGGACGAAAAGACCCCGGGACCUUCACUAUAGCUUGGUAUUGGUGUUCGGUUCGGUUUGUGUAGGAUAGGUGGGAGACUGUGAAGCGGGCACGCCAGUGUUCGUGGAGUCGUUGUUGAAAUACCACCUGAUCGUAUUGGACAUCUAACCUCGGACCAUGAUCUGGUUCUGGACAGUGCCUGGUGAGUAUUUUUUAACUGGUCGGUGUGCCUCCCCGAAAUGUAACGGAGGCGCCCCAAGGUUCC
rnacentral:rRNA from 1 species